rnacentral:rRNA from 1 species
AUGCACGCCUCCUGCUCCGAGCUAGAUCAUCAGUUAAGUCACCAAUUCCAGCUGAUUGAUUCGAGUUUUGUAUGCAUAUGCAGAGGGAGAUGUGCUGUUGGAUCUUAUAAGGAGGUCACUCUGACAAGACUGGCUAGCUGUGGUUCUCGUGGGAAUAAAGAGGAUGGGACAUGUGAUUGUCGUGGAUCUGGAGGUGACACUGAUCAGGAAAUCUGCAAUUUUGUUUGCAUGAUUGCCGAUUUUACUUACACAGUACCAUUUAAAAAGCGGCUGCCAUUUGAUGAAUUGCUGAAGGGUGGUGGCUAG